rnacentral:rRNA from 1 species
UACGAAGGGGGCUAGCGUUGCUCGGAAUUACUGGGCGUAAAGCGCACGUAGGCGGUCUUUUAAGUCGGGGGUGAAAUCCUGGAGCUCAACUCCAGAACUGCCUUCGAUACUGGAAGACUUGAGUCCGGGAGAGGUGAGUGGAACUGCGAGUGUAGAGGUGAAAUUCGUGGAUAUUCGCAAGAACACCAGUGGCGAAGGCGGCUCACUGGCCCGGUACUGACGCUGAGGUGCGAAAGCGUGGGGAGCAAACAGG